AGCUUGGCUUUCUCUUCUUCAUUUUUUCCCAUGAGGUAUUCGUACACUUUGAUAUCGCCUUGAGUCAUUGGUUCUCCAGGCCGAAAAGUUCCGUCUCUCUGUCUCUGCUCACAUGAAAGAUGCUUCAGUCCUUUAGUCAUCUUUGUGGUCCUGCCCUGGACUCGCUUUGGUUUGUCCAUGUCUUUCUUAUACUGUGGGCCCAAAACUGGACUCAGCACUCCAGAUAUGCUGAGUACAGAGGAAGGAUCAGUUUCUUUGGCAUGCUGGCAAUGGUCUUCCUAAUGCAACCCACAACGUUGUUGGCUGACUCCAUCAUGAGGGUGUAUCAGUGAUGUGUGGUCAGCUUCUUGUCCCCAAGGACUCCAAUGUCAUUUUUUCAGAGCUACUCUCCAUCUGCUUAGCUCCUUGCUUGUAUUGAUGCCCGGAGUUAUUCUUAGCCCAGUGGAAGACUUUGCAUUUGCCAUUGUUGAACUUCAUGAGAAUCCUUUCUGCCCAGUUCUGCAGGCUCUGUGAAGGUCCCUCUGAGUCACAGCACAACCUUCUGGUGUUACAGCAACUCCUCCUGGUUUUGUAUCAUCUGUGAACUUGCUGAAGCAGCACUCUGCCCCAUCAUCCAGGUCAUUAAUGAAGAAGGGUAAGCCUUCCUUGGUCCAGAUUUUUUCUCUGGUUGCAGAGCCUCAGGAUUCCUGCAUGAAAUUCUAGUUUCCAAAAGCUGCACUGUGGGGGUUUCCAGAGAAAGCUCAAAUAUGUCGAUGGAGCAAGAGUGGCCUUGGGAGAAGGAUGCUGUUACGCCUGACGGAAUGAAACUGUGGGAUGAGAAAGCAAGAAUUCAGUACACACAAUCAAGUGCAUAGAGCAUUGUGACAUUGCUUAGAUAAGUCUUUCAAAAUAUUUAACCGCUAGCUUCUGCCUUGCCUGUUGAUAGCGGUAAGAAAGUAUCAAAACAUAAUGUUAAGUUAGCAGUAAAUAGGAGGGUGAUCUGUUAGUUGAUUGUUUUAUAGCUAUACACUAACAAUUGUGAUUGGACAUAAGUUUUAGAGUUAUUAUAUGAUUUGUAUCGAGAAGAACAUAAAAGGAGUCGGGCUGAGAAUAAAUGUGUCUCACUCUGCAUCCCAGAACGAGUCCGUGUAAUUUCAUGAUGCAACAUUGCACUUCUAUCUAAGGAAA